AACGUAGGACGCAAGCGUUAUCCGAAGUUACUGGGCGUAAAGCGCGGGCAGGCGGCUCGAUGCGUCUGAUGUGAAAUCUCCUCGCUCAACGGGGAGAGGCCAUUGGAAACGGUCGGGCUGGAGGGCAGUAGAGGCAGGCGGAAUUCCGGGUGGAGUGGUGAAAUGCGUAGAGAUCCGGAGGAACACCAGAGGCGAAGGCGGCCUGCUGGGCUGCACCUGACGCUGAACCGCGAAAGCCAGGGGAGCGAACGGG
rnacentral:rRNA from 1 species